rnacentral:rRNA from 1 species
GAUGAACGCUGGCGGCGUGCCUAAUACAUGCAAGUCGAGCGAACGGACGAGAAGCUUGCUUUUCUGAUGUUAGCGGCGGACGGGUGAGUAACACGUGGAUAACCUACCUAUAAGACUGGGAUAACUUCGGGAAACCGGAGCUAAUACCGGAUAAUAUUUUGAACCGCAUGGUUCAAAAGUGAAAGACGGUCUUGCGGUAACUUAUAGAUGGAUCCGCGCUGCAUUAGCUAGUUGGUAAGGUAACGGCUUACCAAGGCAACGAUGCAUAGCCGACCUGAGAGGGUGAUCGGCCACACUGGAACUGAGACACGGUCCAGACUCCUACGGGAGGCAGCAGUAGGGAAUCUUCCGCAAUGGGCGAAAGCCUGACGGAGCAACGCCGCGUGAGUGAUGACGGUCUUCGGAUCGUAAAACUCUGUUAUUAGGGAAGAACAUAUGUGUAAGUAACUGUGCACAUCUUGACGGUACCUAAUCAGAAAGCCACGGCUAACUACGUG